UCCUGUUCUUGUCCGAUGCCUCAUGGAAAGUCAGCUACUUCCUUUGAUCCGGCAUCUUGGAAGGAACCAGAGCUGUGGAUUUGGAACCGUGGUCAGAUCUCUGGGAAAGGUGGAAAUCUUUCUGCUUGGAACAGCUCUUACAAGAGAACUUGGAGCAUUGGUGGGAGAGGUUGGGAGUCAAGUUAUUGUGCCUGAAUCUGCCACAUCGGAAUCCCUCCCAGAGAGAUCGGAAUUGAUCUCUGUAGGACUUUCAAACUCCAUUUUUAGAGGAGUAACAUUACAUCAGGAAUGUUUUCUAAUCAUGGGAGAUCUUAUGAGUCACUGAGCAGCAUUUGAUUCUGGCAGCCCCGGAGGUCAAGACAAGAAACAAUGGAUGGAAAC